UCACCAGCACAUGUUAGAGCAGGUAACGCACACUGAUCAAAAACUUUUCUCUUCAGGCAUAGGGAGAGGUUGUACAUGAAAAUUAUGCUUAGCAAGUUGAAUUCCUGC